rnacentral:rRNA from 1 species
GAACGAGAAAGUGGAGCAAUCCAUGAGUAAAGUGGCGACCGGGUGAGUAACACGUGACUAACCUACCUCCGAGUGGGGAAUAACUCCGGGAAACCGGGGCUAAUACCGCAUAACAUCGCAAGAUCAAAGCAGCAAUGCGCUUGGAGAGGGGGUCGCGGCUGAUUAGCUCGUUGGCGGGGUAAUGGCCCACCAAGGCGAAGAUCGGUAUCCGGCCUGAGAGGGCGCACGGACACACUGGAACUGAAACACGGUCCAGACUCCUACGGGAGGCAGCAGUGGGGAAUUUUGCGCAAUGGGGGAAACCCUGACGCAGCAACGCCGCGUGGAGGAUGAAGCCCUUUGGGGCGUAAACUCCUUUCGACCAAGACGAUAAUGACGGUACUGGUGGAAGAAGCACCGGCUAACUCUGUG